CUGAAGAAGACACAUGAAUUGAAGAUGUGCCCACUCUUACUAAAAUGUUAUACAACAAUGAAAUUUUCGAAUCUCGACAUGAUUUUCUUGCUAGUUCGGUGGAAGCCAGUUAGCCCUGAUCUCUGAAGGUUAAGCUAGAUCUGCUAAUGGUCCGUGAAUUGACCGUAACUUUAGAUGGCCAGAUAAAACCGCCGGCGAAAUUACCAUUGGUUAAUAUAGGCAUACGCAUACGGACGGGCAAAAGUGAAUUAUCGAUUCUUAGGCUCGGCAUAAUGAAGAACUUGCCCAGGCAUGAAGCGACCCCGUAAGUGCUCUCAACGUCAAACCCCAGCUGAUUAGAUACGUG